rnacentral:rRNA from 1 species
AUUGAACGCUGGCGGCAUGCCUUACACAUGCAAGUCGAACGGCAGCGCGGACUUCGGUCUGGCGGCGAGUGGCGAACGGGUGAGUAAUACAUCGGAACGUGCCCUGUUGUGGGGGAUAACUAGUCGAAAGAUUAGCUAAUACCGCAUACGACCCGAGGGUGAAAGCGGGGGACCGUAAGGCCUCGCGCAAUAGGAGCGGCCGAUGUCUGAUUAGCUAGUUGGUGGGGUAAAGGCCCACCAAGGCGACGAUCAGUAGCUGGUCUGAGAGGACGAUCAGCCACACUGGGACUGAGACACGGCCCAGACUCCGACGGGAGGCAGCAGUGGGGAAUUUUGGAAAAUGGGGGCAACCCUGAUCCAGCAAUGCCGCGUGUGUGAAGAAGGCCUUCGGGUUGUAAAGCACUUUUGUCCGGAAAGAAAUCGCGUUGGAUAAUACCUGACGUGGAUGACGGUACCGGAAGAAUAAGCACCGGCUAACUACGUGCCAGCCGCCGCCGUAA